UUUCAAGUCAUGUAUCCUUUAAGCAUUUAAACCGGUCAUAUCUGGCCAAAAUAUUCUACUUGUUUUUAUGUGCUAACUGGCCCGAUCUGACCUCUCACAACAACUCUACAAUAUCAUUCUAAAAAUUA